ensembl:lncRNA
AUUUAUUUCUUUAUUUUUACAACUUACUGCAGAUUUUUCACCAAUUUGGGCCGUGUGACAUCAUCACGAGAUGCAUUCAGCCAGAGCCCUCUUAGAUUCACGCGUGUUGAACGAAUGUCUGUUAAUGGCUGCUGUAACAGGAACACAGGAACAUGUUUCGCAGACGUUCCACAACGUUAAAUGUCACCUGAGCAAGGACCGUGAUUUAUGAGGAAGCAGCCAUGGGUGGACUGAUAAAGCACUUCGUUUGGAGAAGGAGCAUCUCGGACAAGCAGUAAACACAACCCAUUCCAGGUAUUCAUCUACAUCAGAUGUGUUCGGAGUUCUGGACUGGAUCCGUGGUUUCAGAGAUGAGGGAGCAUUUUCAAAAUCUCACCAAAUGCUUGUAACAGGAUGCUGGCCAGGAAACAGGGGGAUCCCAGGUCCAUGCUAGCUGAAAAACAGAAAGAAUCACUAUUUCCGUCACCACCCGCAGCUUCAUUCCUGUGUGUGUGUGUGUGUGUCUCUAGGUGUGUCCAUGAGAAUACUCCUCAUUGUUGUUUUCAGUGCAUGACAAAGAUUGUAUAAUUUGGAUUUUUGCUUCAUGACUACUGUCUGGGGCACAUGGUGGCACAUUUGCCACCAUGGGGUUCGAAUCCUGCUUCUGCUGCUACCCUGUGUGUGCGGAGUUUGCGUGUUCUCUCCGGGUACUCCGGUGGAAUAUGAAUGUGUGUGUGAUUUGUGCCCUGCGAUGGAUUGGCACCCUGUCCAGGGUGUACCCUGCUUUGUGCCCCAUGCUCCCAGGUUCCCCGUGACCCAGUAGGAUAAGCAGUAUAGAAGACGGAUGGAUGGAUGAUCUGCUAGACCUGCCAACUUGCCAAUUUUGGGGAACAAGGUGGGGGGCACCAUGGAGAGUGCCGGUCCAUCGCAGGACACAAUCACACACACAUUCGUACACUACAGACACUUUUGGACAAUCAGUCUACAGUGCAUGUCUUUGGACUGGGGAGGAAACCCCCGAAGCACAGAACAUGCAAAUUCCGCACACACAGGGCCGUUGCGGGAAUCGGACCCCCAACCCUGGAAGUGUGAAGCACUAAGCCCACCACCAAUCACUGAGCACCAUUGUUCCCAACUACCAAUCACUGAGCACCAUUGUUCCCAACCACCAAUCACUGAGCACCAUUGUUCCCAACCACCAAUCACUGAGCACCAUUGUUCCCAACCACCAAUCACUGAGCACCAUUGUUCCAAACGACCAACCACCGAUCACCAUAUUUCCCACUGACCAACCACAGAUCACCAUUAUCAUCCCACCUGCACACUUCUUACUUUUUCAUUUUAAACUCUCUUCUUGGUGAUACUUACAAGCAAUAUAAGCGAGUCAUUCCAUCCAUGUCCUUUGUGUCUAUUUCUCAACUACUCAUGCCCAUUGCUUCAUUUUAUCUCCUUGAUAAACCUUGAUAAAUAUGCAAAUAACUACUGUGGUGAGAUGACCAAAUACACAUUUCUUUAUAUAUUUAUAUAUAUAUUUUUAUAUAUUUUUUAUUCUGACAAAAGUCUUGUUUUAUUCCCUGCUGAAAACAAACCCAAAACAACAGAAGACCAUCUUGGAAAUUCUAAUGGUUUCCACUGCAAAUACAAUUACAAACCAUUACCAGUCCUCGAUAGUAGCCACUAUACAUAACAUGCCACAUAGAACCCAAUUUACCAGUAGGGACCCACAGCGACCAUUACAGUUUCCAUUAUAACCAAUACAAUUCCCAUUAUAACCAUUACAAAUUCUGCAAGAAUUUCUAUUGUCCCCCCCCCCCCCCCCCCUUCAUGUAACAAGUUUGGACAUACAAAUGAUCUUGAUGAUGCAAAUGAAUCCAUGACGUCAUCCAGAGAUUUCUAACACACCUGGCAACACUGCCUCUGGUCCUCUCGAGUUCUUGCACACACUUUAACUCCCAUGCUUUUUUUUUUUUUUUUUUUUUUUUUUUUUUUUUAAAUCUACAUACGCAUCUGGUGAAAAUAUAUACAGCACUCGUCUCUAGUUGUUGUCCUUCCUGUCUCACCUGCAAGUCAAAUCUGUUAUAUGAUCAGAAUUAAAUAUUAAUAUGAUACAACCUCCACAGCAAAGCAGCACAGAAACCAUCAGUGUAAUAGAAGUCUUACCUGGCUGGAGUGACCAAGGAGGUCCAAACGACUAUCAAAAAUUAACAGUGCAUCAAAUUAAGCAGGAAUGUCUAAUCAUGUCAAUAAUCAGAUAUAAUCAGACAGCCUGCUGAGGCAAAUUCCGCUUGAGUGGAACACAAUCACAGGCG